ACAGCACAGGGCCCUUCCUCAGGUUACUUGGCUUCUCCUUCAGUCGAAGAGCUCUGGGUCUGUGAACCGACUGAGGUCUGGAAACUCACUGAGAGGCCACGAUUCUUCACUGUGGUGAUUCAAGCCAGGGUUGUGGCUCCAUAUCUAGAGUUUAUUAACUCAGUCAAGCAAGUUACUGGUGGGUUACAAAUCUAUGUAAUUCCUACAGACACUACGAUCAAUCAGCCUCCUGGGGGAUAUCCUUGUGGUUAAAGCAUUUUGGUGACUGGGACCCUUUAUGCCACCCUUUACGCAAUCUUAGCCCUGCUGCCAUAAGAAAACGGAGAUCUUUCCGAGGCCAUCGUGGAAGCUCUAGGACAGCCACUGAAGCUGAAAGCUAAAGGAAGUGACUGUGUCAUUUUCUUUUCGGAAAUGCUCAAGUGCCCUGAAAGAAAUCAUUCCCAGAUCAUGGGGCUCAUAGUUGUCAUUUGAGCUAUAAAGUCAAGUGCUUACUUCAACUGGCACCUCCUCAGAAUCAAA